AUGAGAAGGGUCAGGGGCACGUUCGUCCAAUUUCCUCGGGUGAGCGGUUUUUCACCUUGGCUAUUGUCGGUGUCAAAACCGGCGGAUCUCGGGUAG
rnacentral:rRNA from 1 species